AUUGAACGCUGGCGGCAGGCCUAACACAUGCAAGUCGAGCGGUAGAGAGAAGCUUGCUUCUCUUGAGAGCGGCGGACGGGUGAGUAAUGCCUAGGAAUCUGCCUGGUAGUGGGGGAUAACGCUCGGAAACGGACGCUAAUACCGCAUACGUCCUACGGGAGAAAGCAGGGGACCUUCGGGCCUUGCGCUAUCAGAUGAGCCUAGGUCGGAUUAGCUAGUUGGUGGGGUAAUGGCUCACCAAGGCGACGAUCCGUAACUGGUCUGAGAGGAUGAUCAGUCACACUGGAACUGAGACACGGUCCAGACUCCUACGGGAGGCAGCAGUGGGGAAUAUUGGACAAUGGGCGAAAGCCUGAUCCAGCCAUGCCGCGUGUGUGAAGAAGGUCUUCGGAUUGUAAAGCACUUUAAGUUGGGAGGAAGGGCAGUAACCUAAUACGUUGCUGUCUUGACGUUACCGACAGAAUAAGCACCGGCUAACUCUGUG
rnacentral:rRNA from 1 species